rnacentral:rRNA from 1 species
UAGGGCACGACACCGGAGAGGGAGCCUGAGAAACGGCUACCACAUCCAAGGAUGGCAGCAGGCGCGCAAAUUACCCAACCCCGACACGGGGAGGUAGUGACAAUAAAUAACAAUACGGGGUUCUUUAGGAUCUCGUAAUUGGAAUGAGUACAAUUUAAAUCUCUUAACGAGAAACAAUUGGAGGGCAAGUCUGGUGCCAGCAGCCGCGGUAAUUCCAGCUCCAAUAGCGUAUAUUAAAGUUGUUGCAGUUAAAAAGCUCGUAGUUGAAUUUCGGGGUUAGUAGGUUGGUCAUGCCUCUGGUAUGUACUGGUCUCACUGAUUCCUCCUUCCUGAUGAACCUUAAUGCCAUUAAUUUGGUGUUUUGGGGAAUUUGGACUGUUACUUUGAAAAAAUUAGAGUGUUUAAAGCAAGCUAACGCUUGAAUACAUUAGCAUGGAAUAAUGAAAUAGGACGUUCGAUCCUAUUUUGUUGGUUUCUAGGAUUGACGUAAUGAUUAAUAGGGAUAGUUGGGGGCAUUAGUAUUCAAUUGUCAGAGGUGAAAUUCUUGGAUUUAUUGAAGACUAACUACUGCGAAAGCAUUUGCCAAGGAUGUUUUCAUUAAUCAAGAACGAAAGUUAGGGGAUCGAAGACGAUCAGAUACCGUCGUAGUCUUAACCAUAAACUAUGCCGACUAGGGAUCGGAUGAUGUUAAUUUUUUAAUGACUCAUCGGCGCCUUACG